GACGAACGCUGGCGGCGUGCUUAACACAUGCAAGUCGAACGGAAAGGCCCUGCUUUUGUGGGGUGCUCGAGUGGCGAACGGGUGAGUAACACGUGAGUAACCUGCCCUUGACUUUGGGAUAACUUCAGGAAACUGGGGCUAAUACCGGAUAGGAGCUCCUGCUGCAUGGUGGGGGUUGGAAAGUUUCGGCGGUUGGGGAUGGACUCGCGGCUUAUCAGCUUGUUGGUGGGGUAGUGGCUUACCAAGGCUUUGACGGGUAGCCGGCCUGAGAGGGUGACCGGCCACAUUGGGACUGAGGUACGGCCCAGACUCCUACGGGAGGCAGCAGUGGGGAAUAUUGCAAAAUGGGCGGAAGCCUGAUGCAGCAACGCCGCGUGCGGGAUGACGGCCUUCGGGUUGUAAACCGCUUUCGCCUGUGACGAAGCGUAAGUGACGGUGAUGGGUGAAGAAGCACCGGCUAACUACGUG
rnacentral:rRNA from 1 species